UACGAAGGGGGCUAGCGUUGCUCGGAAUCACUGGGCGUAAAGCGCACGUAGGCGGACUCUUAAGUCGGUGGUGAAAUCCUGGAGCUCAACUCCAGAACUGCCUUCGAUACUGGGAGUCUCGAGUCCGGGAGAGGUGAGUGGAACUGCGAGUGUAGAGGUGAAAUUCGUAGAUAUCAGGAGGAACACCGGUGGCGAAAGCGCUCAUCUGGCCCAAUACUGACGCUGAAGCACGAAAGCUAGGGGAGCAAACGGG
rnacentral:rRNA from 1 species